rnacentral:lncRNA from 1 species
CUUCCUGAAGCUGCAUCCCUCCCUUGGCCAGCGCUGUCCCCAGGCAGAACGUCUGCAGGGGAAAGGAUCCUGGGGCUCGUAAGAUGAAGACUGUGUUAGCACACGAGCAAAGUGAUCACAGGCCCUCCUGCCUCAGUUUCCCCAGUGCUGAGAGGAAGGAGUCAUACCAGAUGUCGAGGCAACUUCUGGUUUUGGGUGGCUCUGGGUGACACUCUCACAGCUGCUUGCAAAGGGCUUGGAGCUACUUCCUCUGUGAAGCCUCCUCCCUCAGACACAGGAAGGGCCAUGGCUAUGCAGAUAGCAGGGUACUAUGUGGGGGUGGAGGUCCCCAUCAGAAGCCUCUAAGGGAAUAGCUGAAGGGCCCCAUGAGGCUUCUGAUUGGGAUCUGCUGGGAUGCACCUCUCAUGUAUGUGUCUGAGGCUAAGAAUCUAAACACUGUCCGGGACACAGGAGAACGCCCGUCCCCAGAGGACAACAUAACCUUUGACUUAGCAGGCCCUGAGCACCCUGCUCCCUCCCAGCUGGUUGACCCUGGCUCACCCACCACCCAACCUCUCUGAGCCUCCUCUCUUCCCUUGGCAAACAGGGGUUAGAGGUCAGGGUCUUUCCCAGUGCUGACUCCAGAGCUACUAGAAGCAAGAGCUGUGUCCAUGUGGGUGUGAGCACUCGGGUGGGCUGGAGGACCCCAGGUGGCCAUCAUGAAAAUCUGUCCCCUGCCCGUGGUUUCUGUGGGUGACAGAUGUGCCAAUUAGUAGCAUGUCCUAAAAGGACACAGAGUAGAGACAAAGUCCUGAACAGUUGUUGCGCUGUCUCUGCCGAGCUUCCCACUGCUGUCUCCUCCAGCUGCAACUGUCCUCUUUCCAUGAGCCUCAGGCGACAGUACAUGCCUGCAGCCACAAGUAGCCACAGGAAGCAGAGAAGCUGCAGACACGGGGUGCCCACAGAGGGUCACGGAAUGUCUUUGUGUCUGUCUGGCUUUGUCCCAGUGGGUACCCGAUGUCCCUAGUGAUCAGUGUUACACCUGUCAUCUGUGUGCUCUAGAACCUCCAUUCAGAACUCCUCCCUCCCUGGUUGGCUGCACCCACCAAGGAAAUGGCUUACUCAUCCCGUGUGGGAGUGGCCAAGCAUCUGAUGGUGACUGUAACCAGUAUGCAACAGGCCUUAAUCCAAACAGGAGCACACACACAUACACACACAAACAUGCAUAUCCAGGAACACACACAUGUGUGCACACACACACACACACACAAACAUGCAUAUCUAGGAACACACACAUGUGUGCACACACACAUAUACAUACACCCACACAUGUGAACAUACUUGUUCAUGUGUCCACACAUGCAGAUGCACACACACACAGUAUAUACAUAUGCACAUAUUCGUGUGUGCACGUCUAUACACACACCUAUGAGUGUCACUUACAUGUGUUCAGUAAUGAACACCUUUGAACAUACACAUGUAUACAUGACAACAGAAAUAGUCACCCAUGUAUGCAUACACACCCAUGGAUACCACAUGCACGUGUUCAAACAUGUAUAUACACACACACACACUUACAUGCACACACACAUGAACUCACACAUACAUGCUCCACAAGAGGCUGUAAGAAGAUCCUUGGGCUU